rnacentral:rRNA from 1 species
UACGUAGGGUGCGAGCGUUAAUCGGAAUUACUGGGCGUAAAGCGUGCGUAGGCGGUCCGCGAAGUCUGAUGUGAAAGCCCCGGGCUCAACCUGGGAACUGCAUUGGAAACUAACGGGCUCGAGUGUGGCAGAGGGGGGUGGAAUUCCACGUGUAGCAGUGAAAUGCGUAGAGAUGUGGAGGAACACCGAUGGCGAAGGCAGCCCCCUGGGCUAACACUGACGCUCAGGCACGAAAGCGUGGGGAGCAAACGGG